GCAUAUCAAUAAGCGGAGGAAAAGAAACCAACCGGGAUUGCCUUAGUAACGGCGAGUGAAGCGGCAAAAGCUCAAAUUUGAAAUCUGGCACCUUCGGUGUCCGAGUUGUAAUUUGAAGAAGCUACUUUGGGGCUAGUCCUUGUCUAUGUUCCUUGGAACAGGACGUCAUGGAGGGUGAGAAUCCCGUAUGGCGAGGAGUCUAGUCCUAUGUAAAGUGCUUUCGACGAGUCGAGUUGUUUGGGAAUGCAGCUCUAAGUGGGUGGUAAAUUCCAUCUAAAGCUAAAUAUUGGCGAGAGACCGAUAGCGAACAAGUACAGUGAUGGAAAGAUGAAAAGAACUUUGAAAAGAGAGUGAAAAAGUACGUGAAAUUGUUGAAAGGGAAGGGCAUUUGAUCAGACAUGGUGUUUUGCGACCCUCGCUCCUUGUGGGUGGGGAUCUCGCAGCUCACUGGGCCAACAUCAGUUUUGGCGGUAGGAUAAAUCUUUGGGAAUGUGGCUUGUCUUCGGAGAAGCGUUAUAGCCCAGGGGAAUACUACCAGCCGGGACUGAGGACUGCGACUUUUGUCAAGGAUGUUGGCAUAAUGGUUAAAUGCCGCCCGUCUUGAAACACGGACC
rnacentral:rRNA from 1 species